GCUGAUUGAUUCUUUUUUUUUUUUAACCUCUGUUUAUAUAUAUUUGCAUGUCCUUCUAAAGUGUCCAAUGACUACAGAUUAUGAUGAAAACGUACAUGAUCUAAUCUAAAAGUGGUUUGGUUCAUUCAUGCUUUCUUCAUACUUCAGAGAAAUCUCAUUGCACAUAGACAAUGAUGAAAACACAUGCAUUGACUUUUUCAUUUUACACCCUUGGUCCUUUUGUCUUUUCCUAUGCCUCUAGGUGAGCUGUCAUCUUCCCAUAGAGAAAGUUUAGUCCUAUGGGAUGUUAUUAUUAUGAGCUAUGGCGUAGUAUUGAAGCAAUAUAGUUCUCUGUAAAAUGCUUCUUAGUGCUUUAUGGUAAGCAGUAAUGCCUAGAUAAAAAUAAUUCUUGUUCAGGGAGGACUAUGAACUCUCCUGGAAGUUGAAUAUCUGUCAUUCAGGUAAUUGUGUCAGGUUAUGCCCAAGUCUCUGGAGUGGUUUAACUACGGUAUGAAGUUUCCAAUACUCUUUGAAUUCUCUGAUCUGUGUCGGUACCCUUUGCAGUAUACACCAGCAAUUGAUAUUU
rnacentral:misc_RNA from 1 species